AGAUCCAAAUCAAUUUCUUAACCUAAACACACAUAUACACAUGGUAGAGAGGGGAGAUAUGCAGAGACGCCUGGGAAUGGGGGAAGGGCUCGCGGCUUGGCUUCUUCACAAAACAUACACAUAAUACAAUACACACAAUACAAAAUAUAAAGAUAUAGUAGAGACGUAUAUACAGAAAACAAUACAGACGGAGAGACGCCUGGAAAUUUUGAAAGAAGGGCUGGCGGCUUGGCUUCUUCCAAAAAAAUACACGAACAAAAACCAUUGGAACUUACUCCAUCUCCUUCACGUCGGAGAACAGACGCAAACACACAAACAUAUUUAUAGCUGUUUUUGAGUUUGGGUAGUGCGGAGUCACCAUUGAAGGUAGCCUAUUCCGAAUUCGAUGAGGAUUUCGGUUCAAGGUCUCGAUUUCGCCUGUGGUUCCCGUUCGAUUUAGCCAUUAUUGAUAAGCAUGAAUUCUGCUAGAAUCUGAUCGAGGAUGACCUUAGUUCAAGCCUCGUUGCUGGGUCGAGCUCAUUUGUAUUUGUUCAACUCCAUUUUCCAUUGUUGGAUGUUCGAUUUCGUCUGAAAUUUGAACUCGAAAGUUCAUAUCUACGGAUUCUCAAAACCUUAAAGAAUUUUGGCUCAACAGGUUCAACUAAGCUCUUUCUUUUCUCAUUGUUUUGUUUGCAAUGGAUUAUGGUGUUUGUGUUAGUUUGGUCGACAUUCUUUAUUAAAUUGCUUUAAUUGGUUAUCCAGAUUUCGAAUCUCGUCAUUUAGGCUGGAUCAAUUCUAUUUGUGGAUAAUUCUUGUAUGCAUUUUAUGCUAUGUUAGAGUUGGAUUCUAUGAAUGAAUCAACAGAGUUUAGUCUGGAAUUAGCUGCUAGUUGCGAUUUGUGCUAGAAAGCGAUACUUGUCAAUCUGUUCUUGCAAUCUGACAUUCUCUCUAGUUGUCUGGAUGUGUUUGAAAGUGAGAAAUCAGAACUGAAGAAUUCAGGUUAUGGUUAACUAUUUGAAGGACCAACUCGCGUGUUGAAUGCUUAAAUUUUCUUAAAAAUAAGUAUUGAGACUAUUAGUUAUCUCUAAGAUGGAACUUCUAGUAAAACUUUGAUCUAUUAUGAGUUCUUUAAAUCAGCUUGGUACAUAUGUUGAGUUCUUAGGAUAAUUGAGUAUAACUAGGUUCCUCUUUGUUUAUUAACGAAGAUUUCUUGAGCUAGUUAAUGUACUAAUCAGUGCUGCCGAUUUCUCGUGAAUUUUACUGAAUUUCAUUGUUUGGCUUGUUUGACUGAAGCUCGUCCUGUUAUGAGAUUCCGACUCAUUUACGGCUUCUAUUUGAUAUUUUUAAACUGUUUGUUUGAUCAUGUUAGGUUUAGCAGCAUUUUCUUUAGUUUGAAACUGGUUGGGAACUACUUGAAUAUUUGAGUGAAAAGCCAUGUAUUGAAGAGCUAAUUAUCUUUAGUUAGAGCCUGUUGGUUAUGCUUAUAUAUAAUGUGUGUCACCUAAUAUUUCUGAUGAUAAGGAAGGAUUUGAAGUAGCAAUAUCGUUUGUUCUUGUGUAUAUUAAAUCCUGAGAUACCCCAAAAGUUAAUGUUAUCUCGUUUUUCUAUUCAUCUUUAUUUCCACAGCUAUUUGAGGUUGCAGCUCUUUUUGUUAUUUAAGUUAUGUUCUGUUACCCAUUCCAUUUCCAUGGCAUCUUAGAAUGACUAAUACCCUGGGUCAAUUUUCAUGCAUUUCAGACUUUUUUCUUGGUAGUUCUUAUAGGAAAUUCGAGUUGAUACCCCGGGUCAAUUUUCAUGCGUUUCAGACUUUUGUCUUGAUAGUUCUUAUAGGAAAUUCGAGUUGUGCCAUACAUAAACAAAAAUCCAUAUACCAUGGCCCUCAAAAUUAGUUUGAACAUUCCGUGAAAUUAGAAUUGAGGUGUGCCAUUUAGUUGAUUUUCAUGGCCUCCCGCAAAAUUAAUAACACGUUAGUCUCUUUAGGCGCGUUCUUAAGUAAUUCACUUUCCUAAAUACGGGUGCACAUUUAUGUGACCCAAAUCCAAAUCUCAAUGAAGUUGGAAUGUGUUAAAAUCCACGGGUGCAUUUAUGUGACAUGGUUCGAGGCUUAUUUUAACGACGUCGCAAUUCUCUUUCAAAAUAAUGAUAAAAGUGGUUUAAAGUCUAAAGGCACAUAAGUUAAAAGAUGUUCUAAAAUCAGAUAGUUUAAGCCAAAUAUGAAAAUUGAGAGACCGUGCUAGAACCACGGAACCCGGGAAUGCCUAGCACCUUCUCCUAGGUUAACAGAAUUCCUUACUCGGAUUAUUGGUUCGCGGACUGUAAACAGAGUCAUUCUUUUCCUCGAUUCGGGAUUCUAACCGGUGACUUGGGACACCAUAAAUCUCUCAAGUGGAAACUUUGAAAUUCUCUAUAAUAAUUGAAUCCCCUCUUGAUUGUCCUUUAAUUGGACAAAAUCCCUUAUCUGCGCAUUUCGUCGGGUCGUAGUAAUGCAAAAAGGAGGUUUGACAGCUCUGGCGACUCCACUGGGGAAGUGUUUCUGGCUCAGAAUCUCAUGUUCAGGGUUCAAGCAUUCGAGCUUAGAGUAAUUGUUGUAUUUGGCUUUGUUUAUUAUUUGAUUUUACAUGUUGACUUUGGAAACCUGCUGGGGACAAAAGCCAGAAUCUCUGGUUCAGGGUUCAAGAAUUCGAGCUUAGAAUAAUUAUUGUAUUUGGCUUUGUUUAUUAUUUGACUUUACAUGAUGACUUAAUGUACAAAAUGAUGCUUUUACCGCUUUGAUAUUAUAUGAACUGCAUAUAAACUGUUACGAAACCCUUCUCUCUUUAUCUUUGGGGAUGUGCUCGCUGGUCGAUACUCCUACUCUGUUAGUGUCAAACCUUAAAAUAAGAAAGAGGCUCGGGCAAGUUACAAAGCCGGACGAUCUUGCGGGUCUCCGGUACGUUGCCCCCUCCUCGACUCGAGUUGUCCGCUCGGGUACGCAGUCUAGAACAAAUACCCAGGUGCUGAACUUAGUAUAACAAAACCUCAUAACGGAUCCCUAGUAGGAACGGUUAUCUGCAUCAUGCAUUUGACAUAGGGGACUCAACACAGGGGUUGGGUCCAUCUAGGACAGGUGUACCCAAAUAACAGACUAUCCUGAUGCAUCCUAUUGUGAUACAUAUUGCAUUUAUCCAAGGGUAAAGGGUCAUUGGCUUUGUUAUAUUUUAUUAAAAAAGAGAUAAAGUAUAUGUGAAAAAUGCAAAAAAAAAAUAAUAUUUCGCACUUUUUAUUAUUUCCUGAAAAUAAAAGAAAAGAAAAAAGGAAAAUCCAAAAAUAGUUUACAUAUUUCAUCAUUUUUCAAAAAGAGACAAAAGAAAAUGUUUUCUUUACAAAUUAGCUAUUUUUUAUUUUUUGCCCGUAUCCAAUUUGCUCGAACUAUGAAAACCUGAUCCUCGUCUUUCGAGGCAUGAUACGUAGGCAACCCUAGGGUCCGUUUUUCCUUGUAAAUGUUAGAUUCUUGGCUUUGCAGGGUCAUAGCAAGAUUUUGCACUUCUAGCUGCUUUUAGCCACAUAUGUUAGUUUUAGAAUUCAGAAGUUGCUUGUUGAAAAUUGUGUGAAUUGAGUUGUGUCAGUGGACUCUAUUAUUAAAAUUUUUAGAGUUCAAGUUGGAAUUCUCUUGUCAAACUUCUUUUAUGCUAGUGAAAGUUCUGUUGAGAUCAGUCUUUGUUUGUUGGAGCACUGUUAUGUGAUUUUAAUUCAAUAUAUGAGUUGUUCGUGGGCCAAUAUUUGAAAUAAAAUCCUGCAUUGAACACCAAUUAUAUUUGUGCUAAGACUUUGGUGUUCUGAAGCUUGUUUUGUUGAAGUUUGCCACUUUUGUGAAGUGUUUGGAGUAAAUUGAUAGCUGAAAUUCUCCUAGUUUGAAUUUGUUACCACUGGUUUCUAAUAGUUGUUAUUGUUGAGUUUAAUAGAGGGGAUUCAGUUACUAAAGAUUGAGCAUCUUGAUUUGUGAUUUGGUUGAACAUACAGUAAGCUUAAUCUGCCGAAAAUUGAUGUCUAUUGAGAUUGUGCUCGAGUUUAGCAGUGAUACCGUGAAAGCUGGUUUUUACUUCUAAAAUGUUCUCCUUGUUGAAUUGAAUGCCCUUGUUACAUAAGCUAUUGUCCAGUUGGUUAGAAUCCGCUGAUAGAAGUUGCAUGUUUGCUGUAAAAUAAUUUGCUACUUGUUUUAUGUUGCUGAAAUAAUUUCAUACUUGCUGUCCACAACCCUACAUUGUUCAUUUUUCGCUCAACAAUGGAGAUUUCCAUAUUUCUUUAAUUGAUUGUUGUUACUAUAGUUUUUUUAACAGUUGAGAGAAAUUUGCAAAAGUUUUAGUUCCAGUUAAUUCAACUGCGUUGCUUCAGUUUAUAUGUCAACAAUACGCUAUUGAAAUUCAUGUUUUGAGCUAUUUUUUUAAAAGCAGAUCACGCACUACUUGGUGGUUAUUCUGACUCAAUAUUAUCGUGAUUCUAAUGCUUUGUUUCUACAGUUGAGGUCAUCAUUCUGGGCUGAAACGUUUUGUGCUUACUGCUGCUGAAUUGAGUGCUCCAGGUGUUGCUGAAGUUCUUAGUUUUGAGAAGAAACAGAGUAGCAAACCUGCCAGCUUGUUAGAAUCUUGGUAUUUUACAUUUAAAUGAAAUCUAUUCAUGUAAUACAAGUUUCCUAAGCAUCAUUUGUAUUUUUCUACAACAUUUCGUAUACCUGAACUGGGUUGGACAUUAGAACUUGUUUGAAGAAUUUUGAACUCAAAUAAGAGUGUUUUGGACUGUUAUUGAAGGUUGUUGAAACAACCUUUAAAAUUUGCACUUUUCGUACUAGUUGUGUAGUGAGUGCAAGAUGAUUAUUUUUUGCACAGUUGAGUUCAGUUGAUUACAAAUGUUUUGGUGAUUCAGUUGAUAUGUAAUUUCAAGCUGAAAAACAUUGCUUAAAGUUACUUUUUUUUGUUGCUGCUAGUUUAGUUUGGUGUUAGUUUGUCCAGCAAGCUAUAAAUUUGAAUCUGUAGAGUUGUCUUUAGCACAACUUUUUGCUUGGUUCUGAAUAUUAAUUACAUUUUGAGUUU
rnacentral:lncRNA from 1 species